rnacentral:tRNA from 4 species
GCCCCCGUAGCUCAAUGGAUAGAGCAACACCCUUCUAAGGUGAAGAUAGAGGUCCGAUUCCUCUCGGGGGUACCA